AUCGUUGCGACCAAAACCAGCCGCUGUGC
rnacentral:piRNA from 1 species